GCCCUCGUGGUGAAACGGAUAUCAUGCUUGGCUUCGGACCAAGAGUUUUAGGUUCGAAUCCUAACGAGGGCA
rnacentral:tRNA from 1 species